rnacentral:rRNA from 1 species
UACAGAGGGUGCGAGCGUUGUUCGGAAUUAUUGGGCGUAAAGGGCUCGUAGGCGGUCUGUCACGUCGGGAGUGAAAACACGGGGCUUAACCCCGUGCCUGCUUCCGAUACGGGCAGACUAGAGGUAUGCAGGGGAGAACGGAAUUCCUGGUGUAGCGGUGAAAUGCGCAGAUAUCAGGAGGAACACCGGUGGCGAAGGCGGUUCUCUGGGCAUUACCUGACGCUGAGGAGCGAAAGUGUGGGGAGCGAACAGG